GUUAAAGAAGAAGAUAGUCCUUUACAGGUUCAAGGCAAGGAGAAAGAAUACAUCCAUAGGUGUUCAGGCAGGGAGAGUAGUAAAUGAGUUCAAUCAAGAAUCCAGCAAGAGAAGAACAAAGAAGAA